CCGACCUUAGCUCAGUUGGUAGAGCGGAGGACUGUAGUGUUUCACAGGUAAUCCUUAGGUCGCUGGUUCGAAUCCGGCAGGUCGGA
rnacentral:tRNA from 2 species